rnacentral:rRNA from 1 species
UACGUAGGUGGCAAGCGUUGUCCGGAAUUAUUGGGCGUAAAGCGCGCGCAGGCGGCCUCUUAAGUCUGAUGUGAAAGCCCCCGGCUCAACCGGGGAGGGCCAUUGGAAACUGGGAGGCUUGAGUAUAGGAGAGGAGAGUGGAGUUCCGACGUGUAGCGGUGAAAUGCGUAGAGAUGUGGAGGAACACCAGUGGCGAAGGCGACUCUUUGGCCUAUAACUGACGCUGAGGCGCGAAAGCGUGGGGAGCAAACAGG